rnacentral:rRNA from 1 species
ACGGAAGGCAGCAGUGGGGAAUAUUGGACAAUGGGGGAAACCCUGAUCCAGCGACGCCGCGUGAGUGAAGAAGUAUUUCGGUAUGUAAAGCUCUAUCAGCAGGAAAGAUAAUGACGGUACCUGACUAAGAAGCACCGGCUAAAUACGUGCCAGCAGCCGCGGUAAUACGUAUGGUGCAAGCGUUAUCCGGAUUUACUGGGUGUAAAGGGAGCGCAGACGGCAUGGCAAGCCAGAUGUGAAAGGCAGGGGCUCAACUCCUGGACUGCAUUUGGAACUGUCAAGCUAGAGUAUCGGAGAGGUAAGUGGAAUUCCUAGUGUAGCGGUGAAAUGCGUAGAUAUUAGGAGGAACACCAGUGGCGAAGGCGGCUUACUGGACGAUAACUGACGUUGAGGCUCGAAAGCGUGGGGAGCAAACAGGAUUAGAUACCCUGGUA